rnacentral:rRNA from 1 species
AUUGAACGCUGGCGGCAUGCCUUACACAUGCCAGUCGAACGGCAGCACGGGUGCUUGCACCUGGUGGCGAGUGGCGAACGGGUGAGUAAUACAUCGGAACAUGUCCUGUAGUGGGGGAUAGCCCGGCGAAAGCCGGAUUAAUACCGCAUACGAUCUACGGAUGAAAGCGGGGGACCUUCGGGCCUCGCGCUAUAGGGUUGGCCGAUGGCUGAUUAGCUAGUUGGUGGGGUAAAGGCCUACCAAGGCGACGAUCAGUAGCUGGUCUGAGAGGACGACCAGCCACACUGGGACUGAGACACGGCCCAGACUCCUACGGGAGGCAGCAGUGGGGAAUUUUGGACAAUGGGCGAAAGCCUGAUCCAGCAAUGCCGCGUGUGAAGAAGGCCUUCGGGUUGUAAAGCACUUUUGUCCGGAAAGAAAUCCUUGGCCCUAAUACGGUCGGGGGAUGACGGUACCGGAAGAAUAAGCACCGGCUAACUACGUG